rnacentral:lncRNA from 1 species
ACACACUUGUUGUGUGUAUUUCUUGGAGAACAGGGUGAGCCUAGCAGUGAUGACUAAUAUCUUUCUACUAACCAGGUAAAUGUGAAAGUGGGUCUUACCAAGGUGCCACAAUGCAGACCAUCGAACUUCACUGUCUAGGUGAGUGAGAAUGGUGUCCCUAACAUUUGUGUUCCUGUCUUUUUUUGCAGGCGUGAGGUUCAGAGAUGAUGUGAUAUUCGCUGAUUAAAGACAUUCUUAUAUACAGAUGGCUACAUAACUCAUGAUUUUAGUCUUUUAUGUUCACUUUGUUUUUGACAUGUAAUCAGGAAUUUAAUUUUCCCUAAGAACUCUAGUCAGAAGGAGAUUUUUUCGUAUUUUGUGUAAAGGUAAAUUGUAUCAAGCAUCGUAGUGAUGGACAGGUUUGCAGAGGUGACAUCGCUAGUGUCAAGGUCAAUGAUGAUGGAGCCUAAACCAGAGCACAGGCCAUCGGAUCUCCAGGUAUCUGAGUAAGUGAUGAUGUGUCCUAACACUUCUUAUUACCACAAUUUUUUUUCAGGCAUCAGGGUGAAAAAUAAUAGAGUCCUUAUCAAUCUAGAAAACAAUAGUUUUCAUUUUAUAUUUUAGAAAGAGUUGAGCACUCUUUGGUGUUGAGUGAUUGCACAUAUGCAGAUAUUUAAUAUGGUUUUCCCACUACAGUACUGCCAUAGUUUUGUUUUCUUUUUAAACAGUUGUCCAGUCAAGAAACUCUGGCUUCCCAACAUUGGUGUUGACCUUGGAUUAGUGAAAGUAUCCAGGUAGAGUUGAUGUGUCUCAUAAUGGUGAUGUGAUCAAGGUGUCUGGACAGAAAGGAUACAUCUUGUGUAUUUUCCAGGUUCCUGUCCAGAUAUCACUCUGAAACAAGGAUUGAUGUUAACGGUGGCCACUGUUGGAGUCCAGGUUCCUGUCAAGAGAGAGACAUUCUGGUGGUUGUUCUCUGGGGACAUUUCUGUGCCCAGGUAUGUAAUGAUGUGCACCUUCCCCUAACAGACAUCUCAUCUUCUCAUAUCUAGGUCAGUGUUAGGAUUGAAUAAACUUAUUUACCAUGUGUUUUAUUUUCAAGAAGUCAGGUAAGAAAUCAUAGUAUGUUUACCAGUUGUAGCAAUCCUGAUAUGCUACUGUCUGUGAUCUUAGAGAAAAUGUAUGCUUAGUCAUGGGAGUGUUGAGUGGCUGGUGGGUAUCCACACCAUGACAGUGGAAUUGUGUGGUACACUAGUAACCAUGGUGCUUUGGCAAGUAAGCUGGGAAGAGAUGAUGCUAUGUCGAAAUUUGGCAUAGAUCUUGGAGUCCUACAUGAAUCCAGGGAGAACCGAUGGGUCCUGCAGUGAUGGCCACCCAUAAGGCUGUUUGAAAUUUCCUGGUAGAAAAGGUACGUCCAUAGACAUAUCUGUCACAAAGGGCUUUUUACAGUCUGGUCAAGAAGUCAUGGUGAAUCUCAAAAUGAUCUUGAAUGGAACUUUGCUUCUCUCCAGAUAAGUGUUGCUAUGGCAUUUAGCACCUAUAAUAUGAUCUUCAGAUAUGUAGGUCUGAGGGAGGGUGUUCCUAAUUAUUCUGUUACCAUCUUGUUUUAUUUAAGCAGCUAUUCAUUUAAGAAGUGGCAUUUUCCAUCACAACCUUGUAGAUCAACUAUAGUUCAGUAAAACUUUAAAAAAUGGAAAAAAAAAAGAAAAUUGACAUAGUCACAACUAGUGCUUGUAUUUGCCUUUUUUUUUUUUUUUAAGAUUUUUGAUAUAGUGUGUAUUUAAACUUAGUAGUAACAGAGGGUUAUUCAGGUCCAGGUAAUUUAUUCUACUUUUGCAGUGUUAACCAUGACAUUUCUACAGAUUCUCCUAGAAGAGAUGAUAGUGUGCCUCACAAUGGUGUUGACCUUAAAGUUCUUCCAAGGUUCAUAUAGUGCAUAUGCUCCUCUAAUGAUGGAAGCAAGCAAGAUUAUCUUCAAAGGUACUUAUUUGGCAGAUAAAUAAGAAUGUCCUUUAACACAGUUGUCUAAUGCAUUUCUCAAGGUUCUAGUCAGCAUCGUGAAUAUAAUUAACCAAAUAAUAGUUGUCAGUGGGACCUUGUUAGAAACCAGGUUGGUGAAAAGGUGGCUUCCAGCCCAGUACAGAUCAUUAGAUGUUCAGUUAUCGAGCACGUAAGAAUGGUGUCUAACACAGUGCACCACACUUUUUUGUAGGUUUCCCAUUACUUUCUUUGUCUAGUGUACAGGUAUGAGAUGAUGUGACAUUAAUUCAUUAGAUACCGUCGUUUCUUCAGAUACGUAGGUAGUGAUGUUGACCUUGAAGAUCUUUCAAGAUCCACAGAGUAUCAAGGAUUCCCCUGAUGAUAGAAAAAUAACCAGAAGUAAUUACGUGUAUUCUUCAGGUAAAACAUUUUUUUCCUUAAAACCCUUGUCAGUUGUGUUCUUACAUGUUAUAGUAGUGAUGACCCUAUAGCAGACCUAGGAAUGGUCAUCAAUGGGACCCUGCUAGUAACCAGGUAAGUGAUAUUGAGGGUCUUGCAGCCCAGUAUAGACCAUCUGGUCUUCAGAGAUGUCUGUGUAAGUGAGGAUGAUGUCCCCAACACCAGACACAGUGAUACUGUGUUUUUUCCUGCAGGUACCCUGUUAAAGUGUUUGCUAGUAUGAAGGUAUUUUCAGAUAAAUAAGGAAUAAAUGAUAUUUUGCAGACACUUUAUAGUUUAUCUUACAUUUAACUAUAUUAACUAUAUAUUUGGCUUGUAUGCAGUAAAGCUAUUAAUCUGUCAUUAACAUACUCGUAAGCAUGAUAUUUUCCUACAUUCGAGUUCCAAAAUACCAUUUUACCCACCUCUACUGACAAAAGGAUAUGCAGAUAUCCAGGAAAUUUAUCAUACUGUUCAUCACCGCAAUAUAGACCGUAGAAUUUCGAGGUAGCCUUUCAAGAGAAGAAGGCAUCUCUUACUAAGAUUUAGUCCAGGUAAUGGCGAUGAGUCUCACAGUUAUGCAGUGGAACAAAGGGAUCUGAAGGUGGACACUAGAAUGAUAUGUACUUCAAGCACAUCCUCUAAAUGCGUCUUCGGGUUCGUGAUGGUAAGCAUCUCAAUGUAGUUAAAGUUGCUGGUAUCUAGGUGAGUGAUGGUGUGGGCCUAACCCACAUCAUAGACCAUCUCUGCCUCAUGUAUGUGGGUAAGUGAAUAUGCUUGCCUUCCUAACACUUCUUCUUAAAAAGAUUUUUUUGCAGGUAUUCAGCUGAGAAAUACUAAGAGUUCAUACUAAUUCCAAUAACCAUGAGUUUACGCUUUGUAUAUUUUAGUGAAAAUAUGUUUUAUCUUGUAAGUAUUGAGGAGUCAGUUAUGUUCCCAGUAGUUGUUGUGAAGUCUCCUCACUGUUGUAACCAUUGGAUUUUUACAGGAAUCCAGGAAAGUGAUACUGAUCUCUUCUGACAGCAGUGUUGACCUCGAAUGAAUGCAGAGAUCCAGGUAGCAAUGAUGUGUUCCAUGAUAACGGAGGUGCACACGGUUAGAUGCAGGUGUCCUGGUAGAACAGUGUUUGUCUUACACAGAUUUGUUGCAUGUAUUUCUUCAGGAUCCUGUUAAGACAACAGGGUAAACCUAGCAGUGUGAUGACUAACAAAAGCUUUCUAGUAACCAGGUAAGUGUGAAAGUGGGUCUCACCACAGUGCACACCAUCUGAACUUCAGGGUCUAGGUGAAUGAGGAUGGUGUCCCUAAUAUUUGUGUUCAUGUCUUCUUUUUGCAGGUGUCAGGUUCAGAUCUUUCCUUGUCACACAAGGAUGAGAUGAGGGGAUAUUCACUAAUUAAAGACAUUGUUAUAUUCCGAUGGCUACGUGAUUCAUGAUCAGUCUUUUAUAUUUACUUUGUUUUUGGCAUGUUAUCAGAUUUGGCUUUCCAACAUUGGUAUUGACCUUGAAUUACUGCAAGUAACCAGGUAGAGUUGAUGUGUCUCAUAAUGGUGACGUGACCAAGAUGUGUAGGUAGAAAGGACACAUUUCCUAUCUUUUACAGGUUUGUGUCCACACAUCACUCUGAACUGAGCAUUAAUGUUAACAGGGGACACGGUCGGGGUCCAGGUUUGUGAUGAUUGUGACCCUGUCACUUGUUACCAUGGCUUCUCUGCAGGUAUUCAGGUAAUGGUUGAUUCCUUACCAGUUCUUAAUACCAUGAACUUUCAGUUUUCAUGCUUUAGAGAAUAUCUUUAACUCUGUGACUCAUGAGCAAUUACACAUAGCAGGUAUUGAUUAUGAUUGCUCAAGCACAGUAGUGAUCAUGGAAUUUCUGCAGGUAUCUUGUAAAGAAGUGUUAUUUCCUGACAAGGGUCAUGCCCUAGGAGAACUGCAAAUAUUCAAGUAGAGUUGAUCAUAAUGCUGUCAAUGACGGAGCUUGUUUGCAAGUGUCCUAGUAGAGUAAGCUAUGUCCUUUUAUACGUGUAUCAUAAUGUGCUUUUCAGGUUCUGCCAAGAGAUGAAUAUUCAUUCUGAUGGUCAUUCUCUGGGGACAUUUCUUUGUCUGGGUAGGUAAUGAUGUGCACCUUUCCCAGCAGACAUUGCAUCUUCUCAUAUCUAGGUCUCUGUUCGGAUUGACUAAAUUUACUUAUCAUGUGGAUUUUUUCAGGUAAUCAGAUAAGAAAUGAUAGUAUUUUUACCAAUGGUAGCAAUCCUGAUAUGCUGCUGUUUGCAAUUUUAGAAAAAAAAAUGUAUGCUUACUCAUGGGAGUGUUCAUUGGCUCUUGAAUAUCCACAUCAUGAUGGUGGAAUUGUGUGGCACAGCAGUAACCAUGGUGCUUUUGCCAGGGGGCUGGGAGGAGAUGCUGGCGUGUCGAACUUUGGCAUAAAGCUUGGAGUCCUGCAUGAAGCCAGAGAGAACCGAUGGGUCCUGCAGUGAUGGCUACACACAGGGUUAUUUGAAGAGUCCUAGUAGAAAUUGUGCCUCCAUACACAUAACUGUCACAAGGGGCUCUUUGCAUUCUAGUCAAGAAAUCACAGUGAAUCUGAAAAUGAUCCUGAAUAGGCCUUUGAUGUCUCCAGAUAUUCAUUUCAGAAAUUAAUCACAAACUUGUCAGAUUCCCUGUUGUGGCUCAGUGGUAAUGAACCUGACUAGUAUACAUGAGGACUCAUGUUCGGUCCCUGGCCUCGCUCAGUGGGUUAAGGAUCCGGCGUUGCUAUGGUGAGCUACAGUGUAGGUCGCAGACAUGGCUCGGAUCUGUCAUUGCUGUGGCUGUGGCUUAGGCUGGUGGCUGUAGCUCCAGUUUGAGCCCUAGCCUGGGAACUAUGCUGUGGUUGUGGACCUAAAAAGACCAAGAAAAAAAAA